GGGCUCGUAGCUCAGUUGGUUAGAGCGCUACCUUGACACGGUAGAGGUCUGGCGUUCGAGUCGCCACGAGCCCACCA
rnacentral:tRNA from 1 species